GGCGGACGGGUGAGUAACGCGUAAGAACUUGCCCUUUAGACUGGGAUAACAGAGGGAAACUUCUGAUAAUACUGGAUAAGUUAGUAUAUCGCAUGAUAUGCAAAUGAAAGCUACGGCACUAAAGGAGAGCUUUGCGUCCUAUUAGCUAGUUGGUAAGGUAAGAGCUUACCAAGGCGAUGAUAGGUAGCCGGCCUGAGAGGGUGGACGGCCACAAGGGGACUGAGAUACGGCCCUUACUCCUACGGGAGGCAGCAGUC
rnacentral:rRNA from 1 species